AAUAUUCGACAAUGGGCGAAAGCCUGAUCCAGCCAUGCCGCGUGUGUGAAGAAGGUCUUCGGAUUGUAAAGCACGUUAAGUUGGGAGGAAGGGCCUUAGGUUAAUACCCUGAAGUUUUGACGUUACCAACAGAAUAAGCACCGGCUAACUCUGUGCCAGCAGCCCCGGUAAUACAGAGGGUGCAAGCGUUAAUCGGAAUUACUGGACGUAAAGCGCGCGUAGGUGGUUCAGUAAGAUGGGUGUGAAAUCCCCGGGCUUAACCUGGGAACUGCUUUCAAAACUGGCAAGCUAGAGUAUGGCAGAGGGUGGUGGAAUUUCCUGUGUAGCGGUGAAAUGCGUAGGUAUAGGAAGGAACACCAGUGGCGAAGGCGACUCUUUGGUCUGUAACUGACGCUGAGGCACGAAAGCGUGGGGAGCAAACAG
rnacentral:rRNA from 1 species